UUUUCCGGUUGAUCCUGCCGGACCCUACUGCUAUCGGGGUGGGACUAAGACAUGCGAGUCGAGCGUCUCUAGCUAUGUUGAGACGCGGCAGACGGCUCAGUAACACGUGGCUAACCUACCCUCAGGACAGGGACAACCCCGGGAAACUGGGGCUAAUACCCGAUAGGCGAGGAUGCCUGGAAUGGUUUCUCGCUUAAAGGAUCUUGGAUACAUGCUUUCAAGUCGCCUGAGGAUGGGGCCGCGUCCGAUCAGGUUGUUGGUGAGGUAACGGCUCACCAAGCCUAUAACCGGUACGGGCCGUGAGAGCGGUAGCCCGGAGAUGGGUACUGAGACAAGGACCCAGGCCCUACGGGGCGCAGCAGUCGCGAAAACUCCGCAAUGCACGAAAGUGUGACGGGGCUACCCCGAGUGCUCUCCGCUGAGGAAAGCUUUUCCCUUGGUGUAACUAGCCAGGGGAAUAAGGAGAGGGCAAGACUGGUGUCAGCCGCCGCGGUAAUACCAGCUCUCCGAGUGGUAGGGAUGAUUAUUGGGCUUAAAGCGUCCGUAGCCGGCUUAGCAAGUUUCCUGUUAAAUUCAGCGACCUAAUCGUUGAGCCGCGGGAAAUACUACUAGGCUAGGAGGCGGGAGAGGUCAACGGUACUUCCGGGGUAGGGGUGAAAUCCUAUAAUCCCGGGAGGACCACCAGUGGCGAAGGCUGUUGACUAGAACGCGCUCGACGGUGAGGGACGAAAGCUGGGGGAGCGAACCGGAUUAGAUACCCGGGUAGUCCCAGCUGUAAACGAUGCGAGCUAGGUGUUGGGAUGGCUACGUGCCAUUUCAGUGCCGCAGGGAAGCCAUUAAGCUCGCCGCCUGGGGAGUACGGCCGCAAGGCUGAAACUUAAAGGAAUUGGCGGGGGAGCAC
rnacentral:rRNA from 1 species